AUUGAGCUGAGAAGCAGAGGUACGGAAUGCGAGAAAAUGGUAAAUAAAAGUUGGUUGUGUGUCAAUGUUCAAAGAAGUGUGCACUUAACAACUUUAUUUGUCUCCACGAUGUACUCGAACUGUCCCCAUGUCCCAAUUUGGUUAGUAAUGAAACUCGACGUCGGAAACCGAAGUCAAUGUGGACAAACGACUGUUAAACUCUUUCAAAUAAAGCCACAAAAAGGAUGGUUUGACGACGCGGUUGAGAAGUCCCUCCGAAGCGUGGUGAAUGUUUUAAUUGGUAAUUGGUAAUCGACAAGGUCCGCACAUAGCAGUGCGACAAAAAAGGGUGGGUUUAUUUUCGCAAAAGUAUGGAAUGUCUCCUUCGACCAGUCUCAGGGAUAACACAUUGUAUAUGACAUGUACAUUUAUGGCACAGCUAGUUAACCAAAUGAUGCAUUGAUUCAGCGCGGCGAGCAAACAACAACAAUCAACAACCAUCCAAAAAAAGACUUCACAAACCAUCAUACGAGUGGAUUUAGUUGAGUUGAGUUGAGCAGAGAGCAAAUGACUUAAGUCAUAUGUGUGAAAAUUAAAUAAGAAAGACAAAUCGAAGAAACAUAUGGAAUGACAAAAAGUAAAUUGUCCCUAAUCAUGAUUAAUUUGAAUCGAGCCGAUUGAAAUUUAUUGUGAACAUAAUUUGAAGGUGUGCGACACGGCGUGAAGGCGAAGUUGAAAUGAUGGGGUAAUUUCAUAAAGUGCUUGCGAGAGCUUAUUGGCCAGAUUGUAUCGCGCGGUAAUUUAGUUCGUUUGCAACCCUUAAAUUCCAAGUGGAAAAAAGUCAACUCAUCGACCAGUUGGCGCGUUUACUUUGCGCCCUUGAUGACGGCCGCGCGGACUUAAUGCACUUUCCGAAGGUGGCAUAACGACAUAACUACUUAACUGAAAGUGGCACCUAGAAAGUGACCGAAGAAAGUAAAACGUAAAAAAGUUUGAUCGGUUACCAGGUGUCAAUGUCGUGACCCAAGCAAUUUCCAACACACGUGAAACAACUCAGUAUUUACUUAUCUGGCGAUAUUUGUUUUAGAUUCUUCAUGAUUUUAAUUUAUUACUGUUUUCGGGCUGAUUUAAUUAUUUGCGGUGGAUGAUUUUGGGCAAUUGAUGUGAAACAAUUCGCGUGUGGUUUGAAAUUUGCCAUGAAAUAUUUGAUCCCGCCGAAUUAAUUACCAACUAAAAUCAUCAAAGCCUCGACCAUCACCGCGGAGAAAAUUGCCGUUUAAUUAUUUGAUGGAAAUUAAUCAGCGUUUUGCGCGACGUGCACGCACGUAAAAUUAAUUGAAACCUAUCGGCGCGCCGCGAGUCGCGGUGGCUUAUUAAUAAAUUCGACGGCAAUUUAUAAGCGCUUCACGGUCAUUUAAAUACAUUUAAAUCGAAUGAUUAGUCGCCGAUAUUAUUAAUUUCAAAUAUUCGGACGUCGGACGCUGCCGCACCGCGCUGCGCAUUAUCGCUCGUAAAUCAUCCUGUAUACACUUUAAAACAACGCGAAUGAUAUACGAGCAUGGUGUGCACACUCGCAAAACAUCGUUUACCAGAAGCAGGGCGACAACGAUCAUGCCAAGAAAGUAAAACAAAAAAAGUAACCGCAUGAGAGAAACAGUACGAAUUCUAAUUAUUAGCCGCAAUCGAUAACCGCAAAGCAAUUAAUUUCACCAAAUCGAAACGACGUCGAAUGGGGAACGCAAUUAAACGUUAAAUAAAUUUAAAUGAAAUCAAAAGAUCAUUUAUAAUUCUACAUUCCGUUCGAUAUCAUGCCGUACACACUGAUACAAGUGCAGAUUUUCGUUCUCGUCGGAUUAUUUCGGAAAGUUUUAUUUGAAGAAAGACGCGAGGUAUGAAAGCGACGUUGCGGCGAAUGUGCGGGAAGGCGGGAGGAAAAAGAUUAAUGUGAUAUUUAAUAAAACGUUAAGACGUUCAGAACGACGGCCGUUUUUUGCAUCGCGCCGAAAAAGUUUUGAUUAAUUUCACCUUUGCGAAUGGACGUGCAGCGCGGAGGGUGAUACUUUUCAACGCGUUGCAGCAUGUGCGCGGCAAACAGAAGCUGAAACAGAAGGAAAUAUGAAAAUGUUAGAAUCAACGUCAAAACAUAACAAAUCUGUUUUAUUAAAAUAAAGUAAACUCACUCGGAUAUUAAAAGAAAUUUUUAUCAAAAAUUGUUGGCAACUUGUAAAAAUUUAAAACACUUAAUUUUUAAAAUUCAAACAUAAAAAUCGAAAAAUUACAGUUUUCUCCUAUCGUGUGUAACAUACUUUACACUUUCAUUAAGUGGGUACACACUAUGUACAUUGUAUAAACUACAUUUAUAACUAAUUGACGUUUAUUUGAGUUUUAUGAUAUUAAACUGUAAAUUUUAUGCACGUUACUAUGAUGUUUUCAGUAAAAACAUUCCUUAAUGGCAAUUAGUUGCGAUUUACAUCCAAGUUUACCUAUGAAAUUCCUCAUUAAUUUCAACUGCCUGCACGAUGCAUCGAGUCAGCUCACUCGGGCGGCCACAAUAUGCAAUUAUGGCUUGUUUGACUAAUUAAUUAAAUCACAAUUUGUAAUUAUUUAUCAUAGUAAGAGUAUUGCUAAUUGAAACCAGCGCCAUGCCGCUCACCUAACAGUAUCAACUAAUUAAAGCAUCACAAAGACAUUUACCUGGUCACUUCUAUUCCAUAUUAAGUUAAUGUAAAUAUUUAAAAAGAAAAUACAGCGAGUUUAAUUACUUCAUGUAAAAUAAAGCUAAAUUUAUCAAAACAUUGUAAAGGAUAUAAACAAUAAACAAUAGAAAUGCAUUCAUAAAGAGACGUAAAUAAAUGUAAUUUUGUAUUUGUAUAAUAAAUAUUAUAUAUUAAUAAUACGAAUUCGUACUAAACGAAGAGGUUUUAUGUAAUUUAAAACCCAGCACAUUAAAACACUGAACAUUAAAAACGAAUAGAAAAUAAAUCUACAAAUGGACUACAGAUAUAAAUUUAACCCAAAGAAAGCGCUUAAAAUGUUAUUUUUCUAAAUGUAUGUAUUGUUUACUGUGAAUAAAAAUAUAAGCCCGAUUUCUGAAGUCAUAACCUAAUUCUACAUACGAAAUAAUUCACAAUAAAUCAUGUGUACAUCUACAUCCUAAUUACGAGCAUAUUAGCUUUAUUCGAUUGUGAUUGAUUUGAGUUAUAUAAUUAGGUAUAACAAUAACUAGCAAAGAGUUCUGAAUUCAAUUGUGAAAUAUGAUGAGAAAAUGACGCACUGGAUAAUAAAUGUUGCGCGAUUAUUGUAAACAUGUAAAUAUAUAGCUAAAUGGUGCUGUGGUGUAUAUUUAAUGAAUAAAUUCCAUUUUCAUUCAAAAUCUCAUUUAAAAUGUACAUAUUACAAGUGAAGUUUAACUUUAUUAUAAUAAUUUGUGCAAAAUCGUAUACGCGCACAAAAUAUUUUAUUCUAAUUUGUUUGACUAAUGUGUCUAUAUUCACGCCAAUUUUUGUUGAUUUCGUGUGUGUUUUUAAUUAAUUAUCAAGUGUAUAUCGUUGCAAGCUUUAUUCAUUGCUUACAUUUUAAUCAUGUUAAUUCUAAUGUUUAUUAAUUAUAUUAAGUGAUUUUAUUAUUGAAUAUUGUAUUUUGUGUAAAUCAAAUGAAUUAAUAAAC